UACGUAGGGUGCGAGCGUUGUCCGGAAUUAUUGGGCGUAAAGGGCUCGUAGGCGGUUUGUCGCGUCGGGAGUGAAAACCCAGGGCUUAACCCUGGGCUGGCUUCCGAUACGGGCAGACUUGAGUACUGCAGGGGAGACUGGAAUUCCUGGUGUAGCGGUGGAAUGCGCAGAUAUCAGGAGGAACACCGGUGGCGAAGGCGGGUCUCUGGGCCGAUACUGACGCUGAGGAGCGAAAGCGUGGGGAGCGAACAGG
rnacentral:rRNA from 1 species